GAUGAACGCUGGCGGCGUGCAUAACACAUGCAAGUCGAGCGAUUUACUUCGGUAAAGAGCGGCGGACGGGUGAGUAACGCGUGGGUAACCUGCCCUGUACACACGGAUAACAUACCGAAAGGUAUGCUAAUACGAGAUAAUAUGCUUUUAUCGCAUGGUAGAAGUAUCAAAGCUCUGGCGGUACAGGAUGGACCCGCGUCUGAUUAGCUAGUUGGUAAGGUAACGGCUUACCAAGGCGACGAUCAGUAGCCGACCUGAGAGGGUGAUCGGCCACAUUGGAACUGAGACACGGUCCAAACUCCUACGGGAGGCAGCAGUGGGGAAUAUUGUACAAUGGGCGAAAGCCUGAUGCAGCAACGCCGCGUGAGCGAUGAAGGCCUUCGGGUCGUAAAGCUCUGUCCUCAAGGAAGAUAAUGACGGUACUUGAGGAGGAAGCCCCGGCUAACUACGUGCCAGCCGCCGCAGUAA
rnacentral:rRNA from 1 species